UACGAAGGUGGCAAGCGUUGUUCGGAUUUACUGGGCGUACAGGGAGCGUAGGCGGUUGGAUAAGCCCUCCGUGAAAUCUCCAGGCUUAACCUGGAAAGUGCAGAGGGGACUGUUCAGCUAGAGGAUGGGAGAGGAGCGCGGAAUUCCCGGUGUAGCGGUGAAAUGCGUAGAGCUCGGGAAGAACAUCGGUGGCGAAAGCGCUCUGCUGGACUGCAACUGACACUCAGGGACGAAAGCUAGGGGAGCGAAUGGG
rnacentral:rRNA from 1 species